rnacentral:lncRNA from 1 species
CUAAAGCUAUAGGUCCUGAUAUUGAUGUAUCACCAACUUUAUCUAUCUUGCGUAGCACUGCAUUGCUGUAAGAAAACACCAGAAGAUUCAUAACAAAUGGUUAGAGAAAGAAUGUAACUCAUUUUCCUAAAAAUAAAUAGAAGCCUACUUCAUGUGUCGAGAAUGUUGAGAGAGAGAGAAAGAUCUUGCGGCACUGUAUCUACGACCAGAACUGUCGAAUGUCGAACCACCCAUCUUGGUUGAUGAAACUCCUUUUAAGUAAUUCAGAUCCGUAUUAUAACCUAAAAGACCUUUAUCUUCUAUUUUAUUUCUACAAAAUUUCAAAUUUUGAUCUUCCGUCCUAAAAAUUAGAGUAGAGGAGCGGAGUUAUAUAACUAUGCAGUCAUGACCACAACAUGCAACUAAUAAGGAAGUCUCAACAAAUUUUAAAGUCUUCGGCCUCCCAAAAAAACACGGGCUUGAAAUUUAUGGGUCAACCUGNNNNN